CCUACGGGAGGCAGCAGUGAGGAAUAUUGGUCAAUGGACGAGAGUCUGAACCAGCCAAGUAGCGUGAAGGAUGACUGCCCUAUGGGUUGUAAACUUCUUUUAUAAAGGAAUAAAACGAGGCACGUGUGCCUUUUUCCUUUUCCUUUUUAAUUAGGAAUCGCUAAACCCCUUCCAGCAGCCGCGGUAAUACGGAGGGUCCGAGCGUUAUCCGGAUUUAUUGGGUUUUAAGGGAGCGUAGAUGGGUUGUUAAGUUAGUUGUGAAAGUUUGCGGCUCAACCGUAAAAUUGCAAUUGAUACUGGCAGUCUUGAGUACAGUUGAGGUAGGCGGAAUUCGUGGUGUAGCGGUGAAAUGCUUAGAUAUCACGAAGAACCCCGAUUGCGAAGGCAGCUUACUAAACUGUGACUGACAUUGAUGCUCGAAAGUGUGGGUAUCAAACAGGAUUAGAUACCCUGGUAGUC
rnacentral:rRNA from 1 species